UACGUAGGGCGCAAGCGUUAUCCGGAAUUAUUGGGCGUAAAGAGCUCGUAGGCGGUUUUGUUGCGUCGGCUGUGAAAUCCCGAGGCUCAACCUCGGGUCUGCAGUCGAUACGAGCAAACUAGAGUGUUGCAGGGGAGACUGGAAUUCCUGGUGUAGCGGUGAAAUGCGCAGAUAUCAGGAGGAACACCGGUGGCGAAGGCAGCAUACUGGCCGGCAUCUGACGCUGAGGCGCGAAAGCGUGGGUAGCAAACAGG
rnacentral:rRNA from 1 species